GUAAUAGACCGGUUAGUCAGAUGCACUCUUUCUCCUAGUGGUAAAAAAAUAAAUACGAUACUCUGGAUAAUUUACCGGGUGAAAUGCUCACCGAUAUCCGUGCGCUUGCGGAUCAAUUCCUUAUUGCGUUCCCAAAUAUCAACAGAGAUUUAUAUUGAUGAUGUGGUGGUUAAGUCUGGAGAUUUCACAAAGCAUCUUGCCGACCUACGAAAGGUGUUGGAAUGCACAAGGAAGCACGGUUUGAAAAUGAAUCCCA
rnacentral:lncRNA from 1 species